AGUGAGCGCCGGGAAGUGGCCUGGUAACGGCUGGGAAGGGACUGCUUGGGCUCUGGGAGGCCGCGCGGGCCCAGCUUGUGCAGUCCGGGAUCGCGUCCCCUUGGGAGACUUGGCGAGGGGCGAGACCUGGGGCCCACCCAGCCCAUACCGCAGUUCCUUCCCACAGUCCCUGCGUUUCAUUUCGCCCCAGUUGAGUGUUGGGGGGGGGGGGGUCUACGCGGGGACCCAUGGGAGAAGGGCCAGUUAACAAUUACUCUUGACCCAGGAGGGUCUGUGAAACCUCUUACUGUGGCCAGAGGAGAAGACAUCGGAGAGCAAGGUUCCCUGGAUAGACAUGUUGAACCUCUGAAAACAUGAAAGUUUUUAGUUCGUCAUUGGAAACAUGUACAAGUGUAAACCUCUGUGCGCUGUUGGUGGGAAUGUAAAUGGCGCAGCACCGCAGAAAACUAUGGAGAUUCCACAAAAGGUUAAAAGUAGAACUACCGGAUAUGAGGGCGAUCUGGCUGCGACACCUGUCAUCCCAUUGAUCGCCAGGGUUGAUUCGGCUGAUCUGGCUGGCUAGGCGGGUGUCCCCUUCCUUCCUCACUGCUUCAUGUGCGUCCCUCCCGAAGCUGCAGCUCAGUCGAAGAGAACGACCAUACCCAAUAGAAGAGCUGGGCUUCCCUGGUAGAACCUCCAAACAAGCUCUCAAGGUCCAUUUGUAGGAGAAGGUAGGGUAGUCAAGAUUCCAGACACAUCCAAAUGAGGCGCUGCAUGUGGCAAUCUGCCUUUCUAG
rnacentral:lncRNA from 10 species